rnacentral:rRNA from 1 species
AGUGAACGCUGGCGGUAGGCCUAACACAUGCAAGUCGAACGGCAGCACAGUAAGAGCUUGCUCUUACGGGUGGCGAGUGGCGGACGGGUGAGGAAUACAUCGGAAUCUACUUUUUCGUGGGGGAUAACGUAGGGAAACUUACGCUAAUACCGCAUACGACCUACGGGUGAAAGCAGGGGAUCUUCGGACCUUGCGCGAUUGAAUGAGCCGAUGUCGGAUUAGCUAGUUGGCGGGGUAAAGGCCCACCAAGGCGACGAUCCGUAGCUGGUCUGAGAGGAUGAUCAGCCACACUGGAAUUGAGACACGGUCCAGACCCCUACGGGAGGCAGCAGUGGGGAAUAUUGGACAAUGGGCGCAAGCCUGAUCCAGCCAUACCGCGUGGGUGAAGAAGGCCUUCGGGUUGUAAAGCCCUUUUGUUGGGAAAGAAAAGCAGCAGGUUAAUACCCCGCUGUUCUGACGGUACCCAAAGAAUAAGCACCGGCUAACUUCGUG